rnacentral:rRNA from 1 species
UAGACGGAAAGACCCCGUGAACCUUUACUAUAGCUUUGCACUGGACUUUGAAUUUGCUUGUGUAGGAUAGGUGGGAGGCUUUGAAGCGUGGACGCCAGUCUGCGUGGAGCCAACCUUGAAAUACCACCCUGGCAACUUUGAGGUUCUAACUCAGGUCCGUUAUCCGGAUCGAGGACAGUGUAUGGUGGGUAGUUUGACUGGGGCGGUCUCCUCCUAAAGAGUAACGGAGGAGUACGAAGGUGCGCUCAGACCGGUCGGAAAUCGGUCGUAGAGUAUAAAGGCAAAAGCGCGCU